UAUGGCCAUAUAACUUUGAAACACUGGUUUCCGUACAAUCACCGAAGUUAAGCAAUGUCGAGCCUGAUUCGUACCUAGGUGGGUGACUGCUUGGGAAUACCAGGUGCUGUAA